CAACCUCUGCCUCAAUCUCACUAAAAACACUCCAACGAUUCCAACUACUCACUAUGGAAGGCUUCCAGGAAACUCACGCGUCCCCGGCAAAUAAUCCCUCCAAUUCGCUGUCCGCAAGGCGGAUGGGCACGUAGCCCUAUAGAAAAAGCCAGCCUGUUCGCUAACUACCUAUCCAACGUCUUUAAACCUCAUUCCUCCAAUAUCGCUCCGGAAAUAACAGAAUACCUGCAUUCUCCCUUCCAAACGUCUCCCCCCAUUAAACCUUUCACUUCUCUAGAGGUUACUGAAUUAAUCCAUCGUCUGAACCCCAGGAAAGCACCGGGACAUGAUCAAAUAAGUAAUAAAGCAAUUAAGGAACUACCCGUAAAAGGGAUUCCACUCAUUUCUUCAAUCUGCAACGCAAUUUUUCGCCUUGAAUACUAUCCCAAAACCUGGAAAACGUCACUAAUUACACUCAUCCCAAAACCCGGAAAACCAAUACACGAAACUAGCCCCUAUCGCCCAAUUAGUCUUCUACCCACUUUGUCAAAACUAUUCGGAAAGUUGCCAACGAAUCGACUCCUUCCACUCCUAGAGGAUCCGAAAACACUGCCAGAUCAUCGAUUCGGUUUUCGGAAGCAGCAUUCCACAAUAGAGCAAAUCCACCGAAUAACACAC
rnacentral:misc_RNA from 1 species